UGCACUCAACUGUGAGGAAGACACCAGCUGGGGGUCAGCUAGGCCCAUCUCUUCUCUGAGAACUGACCCCCUCACAGGGAUUGCCCU
rnacentral:sRNA from 1 species